AGUGGAGCUGGGAAGAGACAACAGAAAGCAGUCUUCCUGGAUCAGGCUUUCCCUGUCCCCCUGCCCCUCCCCCUCCCCUCACCGGGAGUUCGGUUCCUCUCAGGAAGUAGAGAAUCAAGGAACAGAGAACACGGUAAUACCAGCAGGAGGGGUUGGGAGGGGGACGUUACUUAACAGCAGAAGACUGAAGGUGGGUGAGUGGGAAGGCCUUUUGUGGAGAUGUGAGAUCUGGCCUAAGCAAGAAGUGCAGAACAACCCCAGAUGGCCCUGUCCCUUCCCCUCAAACUCCUGGUUCCAGCAAGUUCUGUGUUCUUGGAAGGAUUUGGGGAGGUGUGUAUGUUGGGAGGGAACUCUGCUGAAAGAAUGUGGAAUAUAACUUUGGGGUAUAUUCUAGAACAGGGAUUUUGUGGUGGUGGUGAUUCUGAUGGAAUUCUUAGCAGGCAUUUGGGAUGGGGGAUGAUGAUUUGACAUUCACACAGUUGGCAGGGACCUUAGAGGCCAUUCUAUUUCAACCCACACCUGAACAGGUGACCCAGAACCAGGCUGAGGAUGAAGGAGGGAAGAUGUUUACUGCCCCUCCUCCCAUCUUCCCCAGGUGUCAAGGUUGGCAGAAGACUUUCCUUGCCAUAACCCUAUAAGUUCAAAGUGCUGUUAUCCCCAUCUUACAGAUGGGGAAACUGAGGCUCAAAAAAUGACUUGCCCAAGGGUACACAUCUAGCAAAUUGCAGCCCUGAGAUCAGCACCCAGAUCUCCGGACUUCAAGUCUAUCAAGCUCCACCACAACCAGCUACCUUGCCUUUCCCUCUCUUUCUGGGUCUGUAUUCCUUUUGCCUCUGGAGAGGUGAUGAUUUCAUUUUUCCUUUUUGCAUUCACUUUACUUAACAGUGCCUGGCAUGCAGCAGCCACUUUAAUAAAUGCUAGUUGAUUGACUGGUGGAUCUUGUCCACUCUUGAUCCUCUUUCUGCCCCCAGUUUGGUCAUGUAGAGCCUGGGGUCCUUUCCUGACAGCCAAAGCCAUAGUCCUGACAUCUGACUUCACAUACCUCCCUCACUCCCCUCCCAACCCAGACUGGUGGGGAGGGAUAGUUAAGGAAUUGAAAAGAGGGGUCAUGUAGUUUGUUUUUGCCCUCCCUCUCACUUUGAAGACUGGAAACUUCUCUCCUGCAGUUCCCUGAACACAAGAUAUAAGGUCACACUCAAAGGAAGAUUCUUCCUUUCCUCUUGCUGAGGAGCCCCUUUUGGAGAGAAAGUCUUUGCUUCCAACUCACCUAAGUCCUUUCUGCUCAGGCUCAUUAAUUUGUGGACAGUAAGACCUCUCUGGAGAGGUUCAGAAGUGACUUAGAUCACAACUGCCCCCUAGCCAAGCCAAGGGGGUUGUGUAGCAGGAGGCUAAGGACGGGCUUCCAGGAGGCCAGUGGUCGGUGUGGUGGGAUCACCCAGCUAUAUGACCCUAGGCAAAUCACCUUGCUUUUGUAAACCUAUUUCUUCCUGGGGAUAAUGAAACUCACUCACACUCUCUAUCUCCUCAUAGCGUUGUGUCCAGGAAAGCACUUUGCAAAUCUUUUGGAGCUAUAGAAGUAAGCUGUCACCACCACUAUUAAGAACUGUCCCCAGUGGGAAGGAAUUUCUCAGGUCAUUUCCUGACAGUAGGCUGGGAAAAGGGCUGCUUUGCCAAUGUGAUCUGAAGGGACAGGAGAGUGAGGACUAGGUCAUGAAAAGCUGGAAGUGGAGGCAGGUCCAUCAAGUUAAUCAUUUUGCUAAGAACCUCUUCCUGUAAGUGACCAAUGAGAGGCAUCCUGGGACAGGGCAAAGGGCACAGGAUUUGGAGCCAGAGGACUGAGGUUUAUAUCCCACCUGUCACCUGCUGCCUGUGUGAACCUGGGCAAUUUGGAUCUCAGUUUCUCCAUUUGCAAACUCAGGGUGAGGGAUGGGCAAGGGAAUUGGGUUGGAGAGCCUUUAAAGUUCCUUUCUGUUCUAAUGAUUUCUAGGAUCCUACUCUCUUUCCUCUCCCUCUGAUAAAGGGAAAGGCAUUUCCAGGCAGACUUGUGGUAAAUGGGGCUUUAAGUGCAAGAUCAGUUUAUUAACACUGCUGAGGCCCUCCUUUCCUUCUUUCCCCAGCUCCAGUUCUGGUCCAUUCGAAGUUUGAUUCCCUAGGUAAUCUUUAAUAUCAGUACUCUAGCCCAGGUCAGCUGGGCAGGACUGCCAGACAGACAGAGCCCAGUAGGCUGGCAGACCCAAUGGCCAAGCUCACCCAUCUGAAAUCCAAAAGGAGCUUCAGCACUUAUUAACCCAAGAAAACCUUUCAUCCAGGCCCCACUCUGACUGGGUUAGUCCCUCCCUCAGCACCUUCUCUUUCCUCUCUGGCUCAGUUCCAGGGCUCUUGGGCCCCUCUUUCAAUGGAUUCACUUCAACUCUCAUUUUAUGGAUAGUCUUAUGAGGUCCUCUCUGGGAGAUACCAUGGCUUGGGGGUCAAAGCAGAACAUCAAAGCUUGGAGGGCCCUUAGGACAGACCUAGGAUAUGCCUUAGAACAUAGAAUACUGGGGCCAGGAGGAAUAUAG